CGGCAGGUUUAUAGGGUUGAAUCCUGAACUUUGAUAACUUUAGGAAAUGAUGCAUUUUAUGGACAAGUUAGGGGAUACGCAUAAGCAAAGGAAGACGGAAGGAAAGUCCAUCCAGGCCCUUUUCUCGUCAUGACCACAGCUGUGGCUGGAAUCACUAGUCUCAGACUUCCUCUGUGGACUCAACUUGUUUUAUUUUUACAAAACUUCAGUCACUCCACCCGUGCUGUUAAGCUCCCCGGCGUUUCCUCAGGACUACGGGAUGAGCGUUUUCCACGGAAGUGACACCGAAGAUGACUUUCACGGCUGCACCCAAUUGCACUGUUUCCACGGAAGUGACACCGAAGAUGACUUUCACGGCUGCACCCAAUUGCACUGUCACUGUGCUGGUUUGUGUCACCCCUUGCUGCUAUACCCUGCCUUCUCCGGUGUCUGGAUGGAGCGGGUUUCCCGGGGACUGGGUUUCCUGGAGACCAGGUAAAUCGUGCCCAGGGGCAGGCAGCCAGGGGAGAGGAGCAGAUGGCACACUGAUGACGCAGCCGCCACCAGGAGCUGGUCCAUGGAGGGGAUACAGCAACACCCGACGCUUUCACCCGGUUGAUCUGAUGAACACAGCCGAAGACUUCCGGCAGCACAGGCCUGGGUUCUGGAGGCCACCAGUCACCUUGCUCGUCUCUCAGCCUGUGGUCUCAGAGAAUUUUGCUUGCAGCUCCACCUUCACACUCUGAUCACUUGGAGG
rnacentral:lncRNA from 1 species